AUUGAACGCUGGCGGCAUGCCUUACACAUGCAAGUCGAACGGCAGCGGACCUUCGGGUGCCGGCGAGUGGCGAACGGGUGAGUAAUAUAUCGGAACGCACCUUUCAGUGGGGGAUAACGUAGCGAAAGUUACGCUAAUACCGCAUAUUCUGUGAGCAGGAAAGCAGGGGAUCGCAAGACCUUGCGCUGAUUGAGCGGCCGAUAUCAGAUUAGCUAGUUGGUGAGGUAAAGGCUCACCAAGGCGACGAUCUGUAGCGGGUCUGAGAGGAUGAUCCGCCACACUGGAACUGAGACACGGUCCAGACUCCUACGGGAGGCAGCAGUGGGGAAUUUUGGACAAUGGGCGCAAGCCUGAUCCAGCCAUGCCGCGUGAGUGAAGAAGGCCUCGG
rnacentral:rRNA from 1 species